rnacentral:rRNA from 1 species
UACAGAGGGGGCAAGCGUUAUUCGGAAUUAUUGGGCGUAAAGAGCGUGUAGGCGGCCUGACAAGUCUGCUGUGAAAACUCGAGGCUCAACCUCGAGAUGUCGGCGGAAACUGUCUGGCUAGAGUUCGGUAGGGGAGACUGGAAUUCCUGGUGUAGCGGUGAAAUGCGCAGAUAUCAGGAGGAACACCGGUGGCGAAGGCGGGUCUCUGGGCCGAUACUGACGCUGAGGAGCGAAAGCGUGGGGAGCGAACAGG